AUCAGUGUCUUAAACUCACCGAGAUCUUCACUGUGGAUCUUUAUUUCUAUUCAGAUUCUGGAUAUUUCUACAUCUCCAUUCAUCACAGUCUCUGGUGAUCCAGACGGAGCAGUGAAGAGUCGUUCUGAUCAAUCAGAGAAAACAUCAUACUUCACUUUCAGUUAGAAUCAGGAGAAGUAUUUGUUCAAGUUUUACUGCAAAUCUAAUCACACUGAGGUUAUCUGAACUUACUGUACCUUGACUUUAAUUCAGCUCUGUAUGAUUUAACAGAUACAUAUUCAGUGUAGAAAUGAAAUAAUGCACAGAGAAAACAGCUGGAGCGUCAGAAACUACAGACGAGUAAAAACAACAGGACAGAGAGAGAAAUGAAGGACAGAAAUAAAACACAAACCACUGGAUCUCAAGAGAAAAGCAGACGGAGACUUGAUAGAUGGGACAGUAUGAAGAGACUAAAACCAAAAUUCUCAGAUGAUCCAGACGGGCCUGAAAAGAUUAUUUCAGAUGAUCUCAAGAACACAACACACCAGCAGCUGAAGACUGAGCAUCAUCAUCAUCAUCAUCAUCAUCAUCUUAGCUCCUGGACUCUUUCAGUGUUUACAGACUCAUCUGAUCACACACAGACUAAUGAUUGUUCCCUUCAGUAAACAGCUCUGUUGAAUGAAAGCAAAGGGAAAAAAGGAAAUGAAAGGACGUCAUGUGUAGAUGAUCAGCUCAAGCUCAAACUUGCUCGAGAGCAUCUUGUGUCAUGUGAACAGGAUUAGAUCGCAUCUUUAAACCAGAACUGAUCCGUAGAAUAUGUCCGCUGCCAUCGCUACUUUAUUACAAGAUCCUACUGAUCUAGACAAUAGUUUAAAAUAAUAAUAAUUUGAAAAUAUAUUUAAAGAUAGUUUAAUGUUGUGUAGUCCAUAAUAGCCUAAUAUGGACACAGCCAGUUUUACUCACUGAAAUAUUUAUUCAUCAUAAAAUAAUUGCUUCCUAAUAGUCUUGCACACAGAUAAUGUAGAGUUGUGAAUUAAUUUGAGUAAUGAUGAUAUUGUGGGCGGGGCUUGAUGGAGCAGGAGAUGCAGAGAACAUGAUCUUGACCCUUAAGAAACUUUCAUUAAUGCUGUCACGUAACAACUGGAUCCCAAUCAACUCUUCACUAUAAACUCAUUCCACAAUGUGCACUCAAUCAUCAGUAAUGAGUUUGCAGAAUUGGACAAGCAAUCACAAGGGCCUGCAUCUACACAGUGCAGAAUCCUGUAAAUAGUCUGAAAAGUUGGUACAGUAUUUGGGGCCAUAGACACAGUGUCUGAUGAAGCAUUAUGAUCAAAUAUUAGGCUACAUCCAUGGAUAUUGUAGUCUAAUUGGUUCAUUCUCCACGCUAAUUGGUGACAAUGAAUCUCAUUAUCUUGAAACGUUCAUGAUUUACAGUAAACAUGGAAGAUUGUUUGUCUGUUUCCAUACAACUAUGCAUUAAGAGUAAUGCAACAGUUUCUUAUCAUUUUGAGCAGUUGUAUCAAUUGAUAGUUAGAUCAUUGCAAGGAAAUGAAUAGACACUCAUUUGGAAUGUAAUGUGUGAAUUGCCUUUUGAAAGAUUAGCACUUUGAUGUUAAGUUGUGUCAUAUUGAACAGGUGAUUUUUGUUGAAUGAACAAAUGAUCUAAGUUUUAUGUGGAUUGUAUCCAAGCAAUUGAGAAAAGGGUUAGAGUUUUGAAAAAUGACAACAAGGUUCUGAAAAUAGUAACAAAGUGAUUGUAAAGAACUGUAAUUUCCUGUCCUAUUGUGUGUUUAUGUUACUGCGUAUGACAGCUUUUUAGU